ensembl:lncRNA
CCAUACCCCCUGUUUAUAGCCUCCACAUUGACUCUGUACCGGUACCCCCUGUAUAUAGCCUCCACAUUGACUCUGUACCCCCUGUAUAUAGCCUCCACAUUGACUCUGUACCGGUACCCCCUGUAUAUAGCCUCCACAUUGACUCUGUUCCGGUACCCCCUGUAUAUAGCCUCCACAUUGACUCUGUACCGGUACCCCCUGUAUAUAGCCCCGCUAUUGUUAUUCUCUGCUGGUCUUUAAUUAUUUGUUUUUCUUAAUGACAUUUUUUGGGUAUUUUCUUAAAACUGCAUUGUUGGUUAAGGGCUUGUAAGUAAGCAUUUCACUGUAAGGUUGGGGGUACCUGUUGUAUUCGGCGCCUGUGACAAAUACAAUUUGAUUUGAUUUGGUUCGAUUCCAGGCUGUAUCACAACCGGCCGUGAUUGGGAGUCCUAUAGGGCGGCGCACAAUUGGCCCAGCAUCGUCCGGGUUAGGGUUUGGCCAGGGUAGGCCGUCAUUGUAAAUACGAAUUUGUUCUUAACUGACUUGCCGAGUUAAACAAAAAAAUUGACAUUGGCAUAUCCACUUUAGCUAAUCAUGACUACCCCCUGUGCUUAACCAUUCUAAAAUGAUGAGGCUGAGGAGAGAAAUAAAAGAAUAAGGGUAAAGCAGUGUGAAACUUAAUUUAUAUCGAGAGAGUGAGAGUUCUUUAUUUAAGCAGCCCAGUGAUUAGCAUGGGUGUAGAUUGUGCAAAAUGUGACUGGGGGGAGGAACAGGUUCAUGAAGUGACUUGGUUUCUUAUUCACUGACUAGGUAUUGUAUGCCCUCAUGAAAAGACACUAAGACCAACACACUAGUUUUAGCUAGGUGGGUGGUGUGGUAAGGGGUGGGUGGUGUGGUAAGAGGUGGUGGUGGUAGUGUGGUAAGAGGUGGUGGGUGGGUGGUGUGGUAAGAGGUGGUGUGGGUGGGUGGUAUGGUAAGAGGUGGGGGUGGGUGGAGUGGUAAGAGGUGGGGGUGGUAGUGUGGUAAGAGGUGUGGGUGGGUGGUAUGGUAAGAGGUGGGGGUGGGUGGUGUGGUAAGAGGUGGGGGUGGGUGGUGUGGUAAGAGGUGUGGGUGGGUGGUAUGGUAAGAGGUGGGGGUGGGUGGUGUGGUAAGAGGUGGGGGUGGGUGGUGUGGUAAGAGGUGGUGGUGGUAGUGUGGUAAGAGGUGGUGUGGGUGGGUGGUAUGGUAAGAGGUGG